GGAUGAGCCCGCGGCCUAUCAGCUUGUUGGUGGGGUAAUGGCCUACCAAGGCGGCGACGGGUAGCCGGCCUGAGAGGGUGGACGGCCACAUUGGGACUGAGAUACGGCCCAGACUCCUACGGGAGGCAGCAGUGGGGAAUAUUGCACAAUGGGCGAAAGCCUGAUGCAGCGACGCCGCGUGGGGGAUGACGGUCUUCGGAUUGUAAACCCCUUUCAGUAGGGACGAAGCGCAAGUGACGGUACCUGCAGAAGAAGCACCGGCUAACUACGUGCCAGCAGCCGCGG
rnacentral:rRNA from 1 species